rnacentral:tRNA from 1 species
GCCUGGGUGGCUCAGUGGUUGAGCAUCUGCCUUUGGCUCAGGACAUGAUCUCAGGAUCGAGUCCUGCAUUGGGCU